GGUUAAGCGACUAAGCGUACACGGUGGAUGCCCUGGCAGUCAGAGGCGAUGAAGGACGUGCUAAUCUGCGAUAAGCGUCGGUAAGGUGAUAUGAACCGUUAUAACCGGCGAUUUCCGAAUGGGGAAACCCAGUGUGAUUCGUCACACUAUCAUUAACUGAAUCCAUAGGUUAAUGAGGCGAACCGGGGGAACUGAAACAUCUAAGUACCCCGAGGAAAAGAAAUCAACCGAGAUUCCCCCAGUAGCGGCGAGCGAACGGGGAGCAGCCCAGAGCCUGAAUCAGUGUGUGUGUUAGUGGAAGCGUCUGGAAAGGCGCGCGAUACAGGGUGACAGCCCCGUACACAAAAAUGCACAUACUGUGAGCUCGAUGAGUAGGGCGGGACACGUGGUAUCCUGUCUGAAUAUGGGGGGACCAUCCUCCAAGGCUAAAUACUCCUGACUGACCGAUAGUGAACCAGUACCGUGAGGGAAAGGCGAAAAGAACCCCGGCGAGGGGAGUGAAAAAGAACCUGAAACCGUGUACGUACAAGCAGUGGGAGCCUCUUAAUGGGGUGACUGCGUACCUUUUGUAUAAUGGGUCAGCGACUUAUAUUCUGUAGCAAGGUUAACCGAAUAGGGGAGCCGAAGGGAAACCGAGUCUUAACUGGGCGUUAAGUUGCAGGGUAUAGACCCGAAACCCGGUGAUCUAGCCAUGGGCAGGUUGAAGGUUGGGUAACACUAACUGGAGGACCGAACCGACUAAUGUUGAAAAAUUAGCGGAUGACUUGUGGCUGGGGGUGAAAGGCCAAUCAAACCGGGAGAUAGCUGGUUCUCCCCGAAAGCUAUUUAGGUAGCGCCUCGUGAAUUCAUCUCCGGGGGUAGAGCACUGUUUCGGCAAGGGGGUCAUCCCGACUUACCAACCCGAUGCAAACUGCGAAUACCGGAGAAUGUUAUCACGGGAGACACACGGCGGGUGCUAACGUCCGUCGUGAAGAGGGAAACAACCCAGACCGCCAGCUAAGGUCCCAAAGUCAUGGUUAAGUGGGAAACGAUGUGGGAAGGCCCAGACAGCCAGGAUGUUGGCUUAGAAGCAGCCAUCAUUUAAAGAAAGCGUAAUAGCUCACUGGUCGAGUCGGCCUGCGCGGAAGAUGUAACGGGGCUAAACCAUGCACCGAAGCUGCGGCAGCGACGCUUAUGCGUUGUUGGGUAGGGGAGCGUUCUGUAAGCCUGCGAAGGUGUGCUGUGAGGCAUGCUGGAGGUAUCAGAAGUGCGAAUGCUGACAUAAGUAACGAUAAAGCGGGUGAAAAGCCCGCUCGCCGGAAGACCAAGGGUUCCUGUCCAACGUUAAUCGGGGCAGGGUGAGUCGACCCCUAAGGCGAGGCCGAAAGGCGUAGUCGAUGGGAAACAGGUUAAUAUUCCUGUACUUGGUGUUACUGCGAAGGGGGGACGGAGAAGGCUAUGUUGGCCGGGCGACGGUUGUCCCGGUUUAAGCGUGUAGGCUGGUUUUCCAGGCAAAUCCGGAAAAUCAAGGCUGAGGCGUGAUGACGAGGCACUACGGUGCUGAAGCAACAAAUGCCCUGCUUCCAGGAAAAGCCUCUAAGCAUCAGGUAACAUCAAAUCGUACCCCAAACCGACACAGGUGGUCAGGUAGAGAAUACCAAGGCGCUUGAGAGAACUCGGGUGAAGGAACUAGGCAAAAUGGUGCCGUAACUUCGGGAGAAGGCACGCUGAUAUGUAGGUGAAGUCCCUUGCGGAUGGAGCUGAAAUCAGUCGAAGAUACCAGCUGGCUGCAACUGUUUAUUAAAAACACAGCACUGUGCAAACACGAAAGUGGACGUAUACGGUGUGACGCCUGCCCGGUGCCGGAAGGUUAAUUGAUGGGGUUAGCGGUAACGCGAAGCUCUUGAUCGAAGCCCCGGUAAACGGCGGCCGUAACUAUAACGGUCCUAAGGUAGCGAAAUUCCUUGUCGGGUAAGUUCCGACCUGCACGAAUGGCGUAAUGAUGGCCAGGCUGUCUCCACCCGAGACUCAGUGAAAUUGAACUCGCUGUGAAGAUGCAGUAUACCCGCGGCAAGACGGAAAGACCCCGUGAACCUUUACUAUAGCUUGACACUGAACAUUGAGCCUUGAUGUGUAGGAUAGGUGGGAGGCUUUGAAGUGUGGACGCCAGUCUGCAUGGAGCCGACCUUGAAAUACCACCCUUUAAUGUUUGAUGUUCUAACGUUGGCCCCUAAUCGGGGUUGCGGACAGUGUCUGGUGGGUAGUUUGACUGGGGCGGUCUCCUCCUAAAGAGUAACGGAGGAGCACGAAGGUUGGCUAAUCCUGGUCGGACAUCAGGAGGUUAGUGCAAUGGCAUAAGCCAGCUUGACUGCGAGCGUGACGGCGCGAGCAGGUGCGAAAGCAGGUCAUAGUGAUCCGGUGGUUCUGAAUGGAAGGGCCAUCGCUCAACGGAUAAAAGGUACUCCGGGGAUAACAGGCUGAUACCGCCCAAGAGUUCAUAUCGACGGCGGUGUUUGGCACCUCGAUGUCGGCUCAUCACAUCCUGGGGCUGAAGUAGGUCCCAAGGGUAUGGCUGUUCGCCAUUUAAAGUGGUACGCGAGCUGGGUUUAGAACGUCGUGAGACAGUUCGGUCCCUAUCUGCCGUGGGCGCUGGAGAACUGAGGGGGGCUGCUCCUAGUACGAGAGGACCGGAGUGGACGCAUCACUGGUGUUCGGGUUGUCAUGCCAAUGGCACUGCCCGGUAGCUAAAUGCGGAAGAGAUAAGUGCUGAAAGCAUCUAAGCACGAAACUUGCCCCGAGAUGAGUUCUCCCUGACUCCCUGAGAGUCCUGAAGGAACGUUGAAGACGACGACGUUGAUAGGCCGGGUGUGUAAGCGCAGCGAUGCGUUGAGCUAACCGGUACUAAUGAACCGUGAGGCUUAACCUU
rnacentral:rRNA from 2 species